AAUAAACCAAUUUUUCACUUUUUAACUAUAACUUUUAACGCUUUGUCUUAUUCAAUUUUUUUACGAUUGAUAUUUUUGUUUUUAUUGGAUGAUAAAUCAUGAAUAGUACUUUACGUGUGACUAGUUUUUUUCUAAUUUCCUAAAAUUUUUUCAAAUAAGACGGAUGAUCAAACAUUAGACAAGGAAAUC
rnacentral:pre_miRNA from 1 species